UAGGUAUAACUAAUUUUUUGUCCAAGUUUCCUCUUCCAGUUAAAAAUGCCACAGAAACAUCAACAGAAAAACAAGACAUAGAAACAGGAAUGUCCGAGAUACAACUUUACUUUGUUGUUUGAUUUACAUUUGUCAUUCUUUUCUCUGUCAGUUUGACUGUAACGAUUUUUAGAAUAAGAGUUAUUCUACUGAGAAAAAGAAGAAGAGAAAUAAUGCGCCUCCCUACAGUUCCAACUUCAGAUGAUCCUCCGCACGAAUUCGUCGAAAUACACUCAGAUAACCCCUACCUUGAUCUCGAUCACGACAUUUUAUAUGAGGAAGAUGAAGGUUAUGAAUUAAAUGAAGAACCCAGCACUCAGAAUCGCCCAGAUUACGAUAGUGAAGGGCUAUACACGACCCCUAAUAACGUAGAAGGCGCCUAUUUAGAUGUUGUGCAUGAAAACAUUAAAUUUGAUUUUGAAAGCAGUAGCCCUGAAAACGUCAGAGCCAAUUAUAAUUUAGAGGAGAAUACUAUUGAUUAGAUUCCCGUUUGAGAUUUGUUCCGAACAGACGUUAUAAAGAGAACAACUUGAAAUAAUAACCACAACUGAUGAAGAAGAAAUAAGA